rnacentral:lncRNA from 1 species
CGAUCGUUCAAACAUUUUUAUUCAAAGCCACACGGAAUAUUCGUGGCAUUGGAGCGUCCAAUUAUCAGGACAGUUUCCGAUUGGACAGCUCGGUGUAACCGUGGUUACAAAAUCAUCCCUUGUUUCCAAAUCGGACAGCUUCAAUUUACUCAAGAAUGGUCAAUUUGUCAAAUUCAUUGUUCACGUUUGAGAGAACAACCGUUGAAUAGAUCAGACGUUCCUUUCGAUCAUCGAGAAAUAAUUAAAUUGAGUAUCCUUCAAUUUACCUCGCUCGGCAAUAGAGACGGAACACGAUGCGGCAAGUUAAGCGCCUUCGGCUUUUGUCGACCACUCACAGAUAUUACGAUGGACGAGGUAGAAGAGCUUUUCGAGCUUUCCGAGAGAAAGACAACCCAGUGAAA